CCAGAUUUUGCAAGGUUCCUACUUUGUGUAAUUAGCCCCAGGGAAAUGUGUUAUGUUAAAAUGAAUAUUGCACUUUAAAUAUGUGUAUAUUUGGGCCCUGGGGUGGAGCACUUGGAGAGUAGGGUGGGCCAGUGCUCCACUCCACAUUUUGGAAGUUGCUUGGAACCUACAGGUGAGAAGUCCAGUUCCAGAGUUUCAAUCCUAAU